rnacentral:rRNA from 1 species
ACAUGCCUACAACAUAGUGUUAAUGCACCAGAUUCCAUUAGAACUCCGUGGUUAAGUGUGCUUGGGCUAAAGUAGUACCUGGAUGGGUGACCACCCGAUAAGUCCUAGUGUUUUACAUGCC